rnacentral:rRNA from 1 species
UGACUAAGCGGCGGACGGGUGAGUAACGCGUGGGUAACCUGCCUCAUACAGGGGGAUAACAGUUGGAAACGGCUGCUAAUACCGCAUAAGCGCACAGUACCGCAUGGUACGGUGUGAAAAACUCCGGUGGUAUGAGAUGGACCCGCGUCUGAUUAGGUAGUUGGUGGGGUAACGGCCUACCAAACCGACGAUCAGUAGCCGACCUGAGAGGGUGACCGGCCACAUUGGGACUGAGACACGGCCCAA